rnacentral:rRNA from 1 species
UACUUUAACAGAGCGUCGCAAUGACUCUCGGCAACGGAUAUCUCGGCUCUCGCAUCGAUGAAGAACGUAGCGAAAUGCGAUACUUGGUGUGAAUUGCAGAAUCCCGUGAACCAUCGAGUCUUUGAACGCAAGUUGCGCCCGAAGCCUUUCGGCCGAAGGCACGUCUGCCUGGGCGU